rnacentral:misc_RNA from 1 species
CAAGCGGUCACCCAUCUAAGUACUAACCGUGCCCAGUGCUGCUUGACUUUCGUGAUCGGACGAGAACGAGUAUUUUCAACGCGGAAAUCAGGCCCUUUCGACUUGCACCAUCAUAAUACUCUAAUUUUCGCGCCUACUUCAAUUUUGAAACUAUUUAAUUUCACUGGAUUGCGUAUAACUACCAACAGUAAAAUACUAACAUUCACGAACGACACGGCUGU